rnacentral:sRNA from 1 species
GAGCGCCAGCGAGAGAGCGUUGCCGCAGGCAACGACCCGAAGGGCGAAGCGCGCAGCGUUGAGUAAUCCUUCCCCCACCACCA